AUGCAAGUCGAACGGAAAUCUUUUAGAGAAAUCUUUUAGAUUUUAGUGGCGAACGGGUGAGUAACACGUAAGCAACCUGCCUUUAAGACGAGAAUAACAAUUGGAAACAGUUGCUAAGGCUGGAUAGGAAAUAAAAAGGCAUCUUUUUAUUUUUAAAAGACCUUCUUCGGAGGGUAUGCUUAAAGAGGGGCUUGCGUCACAUUAGUUAGUUGGUAGGGUAAUGGCCUACCAAGACGAUGAUGUGUAGCUGGACUGAGAGGUUGAACAGCCACAUUGGGACUGAGACACGGCCCAAACUCCUACGGGAGGCAGCAGUAGGGAAUUUUCGGCAAUGGAGGAAACUCUGACCGAGCAACGCCGCGUGAACGACGAAGUACUUCGGUAUGUAAAGUUCUUUUAUUGAAGAAGAAACAAUAGUGGAAAAACUAUCUUGACGUUAUUCAAUGAAUAAGCCCCGGCUAACUAUGUGCCAGCAGCCGCGGUAAUACAUAGGGGGCGAGCGUUAUCCGGAAUUAUUGGGCGUAAAGGGUGCGUAGGCGGUUUAAUAAGUCUCUAGUCUAAUUUCAACGCUUAACGUUGUCCUGCUAGAGAAACUGUUUGACUAGAGUGAGAUAGAGGUAAGCGGAAAUUCCAUGUGUAGCGGUAAAAUGUGUAAAUAUAUGGAGGAACACCAGAGGCGUAGGCGGCUUACUGUGUCUUUACUGACGCUGAUGCACGAAAGCGUGGGGAGCAAACAGGAUUAGAUACCCUGGUAGUCCACGCCGUAAACUAUGAGUACUAAGUGUCGGGGUUAAACUCGGUACUGAAGUUAACACAUUAAGUACUCCGCCUGAGUAGUACGUACGCAAGUAUGAAACUUAAAGGAAUUGACGGGAUCCCGCACAAGCGGUGGAUCAUGUUGUUUAAUUCGAAGAUACACGAAAAACCUUACCAGGUCUUGACAUACUCUGCAAAACUAUAGAAAUAUAGUGGAGGUUAUCAGGGAUACAGGUGGUGCAUGGUUGUCGUCAGCUCGUGUCGUGAGAUGUUAGGUUAAGUUCUAAAACGAGCGCAACCCCUGUCGUUAAUUGCCAGCACGUUAUGGUGGGGACUUUAGCGAGACUGCCAAUGAAAAAUUGGAGGAAGGUGGGGAUUACGUCAAAUCAUCAUGCCCCUUAUGAUCUGGGCUACAAACGUGAUACAAUGGCUAUUACAAAGAGUAGCUUAAACGCGAGUUUUUGGCAAAUCUCAAAAAAAUAGUCUUAGUUCGGAUUGAAGUCUGCAACUCGACUUCAUGAAGUUGGAAUCGCUAGUAAUCGCGAAUCAGCAUGUCGCGGUGAAUACGUUCUCGGGGUUUGUACACACCGCCCGUCAAACCACGAAAGUGGACAAUACCCGAAAGCGAUAGCCUAACUGCGCAAGCAGAGGGAAUCGUCUAAGGUAGGGUCGAUGAUUGGGGUUAAG
rnacentral:rRNA from 1 species